rnacentral:rRNA from 1 species
UCUCUUGAGUGGAUCCUGAGUACGACGGAGCACGUGAAAUUCCGUCGGAAUCUGGGAGGACCAUCUCCUAAGGCUAAAUACUCUCUAGUGACCGAUAGUGAACCAGUACCGUGAGGGAAAGGUGAAAAGCACCCCGGAAGGGGAGUGAAAUAGAACCUGAAACCGUGUGCUUACAAGUAGUCAGAGCCCGUUAAUGGGUGAUGGCGUGCCUUUUGUAGAAUGAACCGGCGAGUUACGAUUUGAUGCAAGGUUAAGCAGUAAAUGUGGAGCCGUAGCGAAAGCGAGUCUGAAUAGGGCGUUUAGUAUUUGGUCGUAGACCCGAAACCAGGUGAUCUACCCUUGGUCAGGUUGAAGUUCAGGUAACACUGAAUGGAGGACCGAACCGACUUACGUUGAAAAGUGAGCGGAUGAACUGAGGGUAGCGGAGAAAUUCCAAUCGAACCUGGAGAUAGCUGGUUCUCUCCGAAAUAGCUUUAGGGCUAGCCUCAAGUGAUGAUUAUUGGAGGUAGAGCACUGUUUGGACGAGGGGCCCCUCUCGGGUUACCGAAUUCAGACAAACUCCGAAUGCCAAUUAAUUUAACUUGGGAGUCAGAACAUGGGUGAUAAGGUCCGUGUUCGAAAGGGAAACAGCCCAGACCACCAGCUAAGGUCCCAAAAUAUAUGUUAAGUGGAAAAGGAUGUGGCGUUGCCCAGACAACUAGGAUGUUGGCUUAGAAGCAGCCAUCAUUUAAAGAGUGCGUAAUAGCUCACUAGUCGAGUGACACUGCGCCGAAAAUGUACCGGGGCUAAACAUAUUACCGAAGCUGUGGAUUGUCCUUUGGACAAUGGUAGGAGAGCGUUCUAAGGGCGUUGAAGCAUGAUCGUAAGGACAUGUGGAGCGCUUAGAAGUGAGAAUGCCGGUGUGAGUAGCGAAAGACGGGUGAGAAUCCCGUCCACCGAUUGACUAAGGUUUC